rnacentral:rRNA from 1 species
AUUCGCGGCCUAUCAGCUUGUUGGUGAGGUGAUGGCUCACCAAGACGAUGACGGGUAGCCGGCCUGAGAGGGCGACCGGCCACACUGGGACUGAGACACGGCCCAGACUCCUACGGGAGGCAGCAGUGGGGAAUAUUGCACAAUGGGCGAAAGCCUGAUGCAGCGACGCCGCGUGGGGGAUGACGGCCUUCGGGUUGUAAACCCCUUUCAGUAGGGAAGAAGCGAGAGUGACGGUACCUGCAGAAGAAGCGCCGGCUAACUACGUGCCAGCAGCCGCGGUAAUACGUAGGGCGCAAGCGUUGUCCGGAAUUAUUGGGCGUAAAGAGCUCGUAGGUGGCUUGUCGCGUCUGCCGUGAAAACCCGAGGCUCAACCUCGGGCGUGCGGUGGGUACGGGCAGGCUAGAGUGUGGUAGGGGAGACUGGAACUCCUGGUGUAGCGGUGAAAUGCGCAGAUAUCAGGAAGAACACCGAUGGCGAAGGCAGGUCUCUGGGCCAUUACUGACACUGAGAAGCGAAAGCAUGGGUAGCGAACAGGAUUAGAUACCCUGGUAGUCCAUGCCGUAAACGUUGGGCACUAGGUGUGGGGGACAUUCCACGUUUUCCGCGCCGUAGCUAACGCAUUAAGUGCCCCGCCUGGGGAGUACGGAAU